rnacentral:rRNA from 1 species
CGGCAAUAGCCUAAAACUCAAAGGACUUGGCGGUGCUUUAUACCCCUCUAGAGGAGCCUGUUCUAUAAUCGAUAAACCCCGAUAAACCUCACCAAUCCUUGCUAAUACAGUCUAUAUACCGCCAUCUUCAGCAAACCCUAAAAAGGAAUAAAAGUAAGCACAAUAAUAACACAUUAAAACGUUAGGUCAAGGUGUAACCUAUGGGUUGGGAAGAAAUGGGCUACAUUUUCUAUCUAAAGAA